GGGCCUGUAGUGUAAUGGUACGCUCAAAGCAUGAAAACACGCCUCCUUCGCAAGGAGGAGACUCUGGGUUCGAAUCCCAGCAGGUCCA
rnacentral:tRNA from 1 species